UGUUGUUGAUUGGUACUCCUUUUUGCUGUCCCGUUUCUAUCUUUUAUUUCUGGUCAUCAGAGCAAAUGGUGAUGCCAGAAACCAAAUAGGAGUGGUAAUUGGCAGAGGGCAGUGCAUUUCUCAGCAACAAUUAGCUCAUUAUAAUCAACCAAAAGAAAAAAAAAAAAAAGAUGGAUCGAAGCUUAUGCCUCUGCCUACUGAUUUGCCUGUUCUUGCAGUGCCCAUUCAGUUAUUCUUGGAAGAGUCUAACAUUUCUUGAUCUUGGUUCCAACUUACUGCAGGGACCAUUACCUGCUUCUCUCUGCAACUUAGAAAAGCUGCAAUAUCUUCUCCUGUCUGACAACAAACUGACCGGAACAAUACCUCACUGUUUCGGGAACAUCAGCACACAGCUCACGGUGUUGGACUUGCGGAGAAACGACUUUCAUGGGAUGAUUCCAACAACGUUUCCAGAGCGCAAUGAGCUCAGGAAUCUUGGUCUCAACGGCAAUCAACUAGAAGGGCCCCUGCCACGAUCUUUGAUCAACUGCAAGAGCUUGGAAGUUCUCGACGUUGGACAAAACCAUAUAACUGGUCCAUUCCCUGACUGGCUCGGAACUCUUCCAGAGCUACGUGUUCUGAUUUUGAAAUUGAAUAGAUUGCAAGGUCCAAUUGGAAAUUCAUCGAAUAAAUCAUCAUUCCAGAAGCUCAAGAUCUUGGACAUAUCUUACAAUAAUUUCACCGGCUAUGUACCUGCCAAGAUGCUUGAAAAUUUUCGGGCUAUGAAGAAGAAUGGCAGCGAAACGUCACAACGUCAAUACAUGGGAGAUGGCUCAUACUAUCUAGAUUCCGUGACUGUAAUCAUGAAAGGGCUAGAAUACCAAGUAAAGCGGAUCCUCACGGUUUUCACAACCAUCGAUUUGUCUGGAAACCAAUUCGAAGGAAACAUUCCGAAAUCCAUUGGGGAUCUCAAUUCUCUCGUGGUAUUCAACUUGUCCCACAAUAACUUCAAUGGUUUGAUUCCACAAACACUGGGGACUUGUCUGAACUUGAAUCACUAGACCUUUCUUAUAACCAACUGGAGGGAAGGAUUCCCCCUGAGGUUUGCAAUCUGCAUUUUCUUGAAGCCUUGGACCUUUCCCAGAAUCAUCUGGUGGACCAAUUCCUUCAGGUGGGCACUUCAAUACCUUUCCUAAUUCUUCAUUUACUGGGAACCCCGGAUUGUGUGAUUUUCCGCUUAAAGAUUGUGGAGAAGUUGAUGGACCGCAACCAUCUCCCUGGCGGGUAUCUCAUCACGGAGAUUGUUAGAUCUUACGAGUGGAUUUACAUGGAAACCAGUGGUCUUAGGAUAUUGUUUUGGAAUGAUCCUUGGAGUGGCCAUUGGAUUCCUAAUGUUCUCUACUCGAACCCCAAGAUUGUUCGUUGCUAUGGUUGAAGAUGUAUGCAAACGAUCGAAAAGGCCAAGAAGAGUUCUGUACGUCCCUUUGGCUCAAGGUUUGAGUAAACGAUCGAAAAGACCUCAGAUGACGUGAAAAAUGGAUCGACUAGCUGAAUGGUACUGUAUUAGUUUGAUCGUUCAUAUGUAUGUUUACUUGCAAUAUUGUGCUUUAAGAACUGUACUGUAUUUCUUCAUCGGAGCAUUUUUCUUUGUUCUCUAAUGAUUUCAGGCUAUCGUUGAAUUAAAUGAGUUAAUUGUUGCCUUCCUUUUCGUUUAGUCUAAGAUUCAUUUAAUGAUGAUGGACGACUGAGUGAAAUUGGAUAUGUUAUGAUUUUGAAAAAUCUCGUUGCUUUCAUUAGAAAGAUGUGUUUUAAUUUAAUUUCGACUGAGUGAAAUUGGAUAUGUUAUGAUUUUGAAAAAUCUCGUUGCUUUCAUUAGAAAGAUGUGUUUUAAUUUAAUUUUUUUUAUCUUUUGAAUAAUUUUAACUACUUUUUUAUUUAACACAUUGUGUACACUUAUAGAAACAUUUUAACUAUCUUUUUUAUUUCACAUAUAUAAAAAAAAAAAUUCUAUUGUGUUCUUUAAUAAACUAAACAAGACUUGUAAUCAAGCUAUAGAAUAUUCUCUUUCUUUGCGCAAUAGGAGGUGGUUUUCAUUUCACAUAAUCACAUCACAUAUAAAAGUAAAUAACAAAACAGAAAAAUACUACCGUGCUUUUUAACAAACUUUCUAUUUCAAUGUUAAGUUUUUAAGGUGUUUAUUUAAAAUUUUAUUGUGACUUACUAAAGUUAUUUUUAAAAAGAUAUUGAUUUUUGUCUAAAACAUCCAAAACACCUCCAUUUGGAUUGGCCAUUUUUUGAAAAAUAAAAUUAUCAUAUAUAAUGUUACAAUAAUACACAAAAAAAAAAAAAGCAACCUCAAAAACACCAAAAAUACAAAAGAAAAAAAAAACCUCAAAAGUAAUCUUAUCUACAGUAAAAAUUUUUCACUUACAUUAUUACAAUAAAAUAUUUCAAAAACACCUUCCAAAAACAGUUAAUCCAAACGGAACAGCCCUUACUCCUCCCGCACCAGUGGCAGCAUUCACCACCCACCAUUGCUAUUCACAUUCGUUACCCAUAGCUAAUUUAAUUCUUUUAAUUAUUUUUUAAAACUCAUGAAUAUUUUAAAGUGUUACUAUAAAUGGUGUUUUAUCAAAAUUUUGCCUUUUUAAAACAUCUCUAAAACAUGAGCGCCGAACAGACCCUGAAACUGCGUCUUGUGGUUAAGCUAAAGAGCAUCCUCUUUCUCUGGACAGAAAGAGGUCGGGGGCUUAAUGGAAUAUGUUCUCUCUCAUUUUCAUGCACUCAUGCCCAUGGGCAGGAGUUGACCCGAGUCAACUUUUUGUUUAAUAAACCAAAUUGGAUAAUUCAAAGUGCUUUACGAGCUUGACACGUUCAUGAAAGGCCUUGGCUGAUGUGUUUAUUCCUGAGGAUUAAACUUCUUGAAUUGUUCGAUGACAGCUGCUUUACUGUUUUUCACCGCAGGUUUAGCAUACAAAAACUCGAACCGGGCGGGAGGCUAGCAGCACCCUUUUCAAAGUCCUCCGCCGAGCGCGCGUGGUUGCUUUUACCACAUUGAAAUGUUUCCGGAAGUCAUUUAUUUUGAUUUCAAGUUGGAGAUAUAUGCUUCACUGACGGGGCAAAAUAUUCUCUUUUAGGGUCAUGUGAACUCACAUUCAAAGCUUGGAAGACAGAAAGAAACACGAAUUUUAAGACCCACAAGAAGUUUAAGGCUAGGAAUGAAUCAGACUUUAAAUACGAUAUGGCUGUAUUGUAUGUGCUACCAACAGAUUCAAAGCUACAACACUAGCUGUUCUUUUCCUACCCUUCAAAUUGACUCCAAUAAUUAUGAGAUGUGUCUCAUUCUUCCUUCAGCAUUUUCGUUUAUGCAGUCAAAAACUUGCUCGAUCUGUGUUGGCACAAAAAAAAAAAAGAAAAGAAAAUGCACAGUGAAAGCAAUCUUAACGCAUAUGAAAAUAUACAGGAAGAGAAGAGAAGGAGAAUAAAUACGCAAAUAAAUACUCAAUAGUUUACUAACCCAAAAUUCAACAGUAACAAAUAUCAAGUCGUAACCUUUCACUCACGACAAAUCAUAAAUCUUAAACUAUGAAAUUUUUUCUCAAAUCCACUUUCAAGACUGACUCAACUCAACUCUUUAAACCUACAAUUUCUCAACUCUUUCUUCAAGGAAACAAUAAGACACUAGUAGUAUUUAUAGAUUGCUAAACUUUCAAAACAAACACAAUUAUAAAUUGAAACUUACUUGGAAUAGAUUUAAAAUUUCUUAAACUAAUAUGGAAACUAAACAAAUAUGCCACCAAAACAAGAAACUAGAAGAAUUAGGAAAUUGCCAUUUUCUGCCAGAAAAUUGUGUCACUUUCCGUGAUCACAUUUUCCUAUUACAUUUUUCCCUUACAUACAUCAAAUCACUACAAUAUAUUUUUUCAUGAAAAAUGAUGGAAAAUGCAAUUCAAACGGGAAAAAUGCAAAAUAUUUUGGUAUAAUUUCCUUCAAUCUGUCGAUGGCCUCUCAAUUUUUCUUGAAAAAGUUACUCUGGACUAGGGUGAGCAUCGAAUUCGAAUUCGGUAAUUCGGUAGGUUGAAAUCGGUAAUUUUCGGUAAAUGGUGCUGGAAAUAUUCGACCUAAUUCGCAUUCGAAUUAGGAAAUAUCGAAUUCGAAUUCAAUCCGAAUUGAAUUCGGUAAAUGAAAAUUGACCGAAUUAACCGAAUUGCUGGAGGAUAAACUCCCAGCUCCUUCACCAAGCUUUCGUACACAAUCAUGAAGAAAUCAAUCUCCUGCUUGGUUCUUUUGUCCUUGGCCUGCAUUGCCUCCUUUGCCAACACCUCUGACGGACAAUCCGAUGGCUGUGAAAUAUAUGACAUCACUCAUCCCAUAAAGAAUAAUAUGCCAACUUUGGAAGCUCAGAAGGUGCGAAUGAUGUGAUAAAAGAAUUUGAAGGGCAAGUUACCCUCACUGGUACCAUCACCAUGGGUACUCAUCUUGGCACCCAUGUUGAUGCCCCUGCACACAUUUUCCCGGGCAGCAUUUUUCAGCAAUGGUGGAGGGUUGUUCAGCAAUGGUAGAGGCUCAGUCAGAACGAGAAACGGAGAAAGAGUACUAGGGGUGAGCUUUGAGCUUUCUGUAGUUGAGGAGAGGAGAAGACUGAGGAGAAUGAGCAGAGGAGAAACUCAGAAACAGCUUAGGGCCUGAGGCUUAGACUACAGUGGGCGGCGCUGCGGCAGUGCAAAGGAACGAGAGGAAGAGGGGACGAAGAGGAGAACAAAUGCUAGUUUACGGCACUGAGUCUGAAAAUCUGAAAUUGGAACAAUAUCCAGACAUAAUAAUAUUAUUUCCUAUGUAACUUAAUUCGGAAUUUCGAAAUUGAAAACGGUAAUAAUUUACCGUUUUACCGAAAUCAAUUCGAAUUCAGUAAAUUCGAAAUCAAAAACUAUAAAACCAUUUUCGACCCUAAUUCCAUUCUAAUUAAUUCGAUAUCCCCGAUUUACCGACCUAAUUACCGAAUUACCGAAUUCGAAUUACCAAAUUGAAAUCGAUUUCGGUCGGUAAUUCGGUAAUUACCGUAAUUGCUCACCCCUACUCUGGACCAUAGGUGUUCCUUGCUUGAGGGACCAUCAAAUGCCUUGUUCUAUAUCUGCAACUGCAAAGCUACGGACUCGAUUAAGUUCGUACUAACAACAGAAAUUAUAUCAGUCAUUAAUUGAUACAAUAGAUCUGAAGAAACAUCUAAAGAACUAACAAAAAAAUUGCACAGUGAAGGCUAACAUAUUUUGAAAAACCCAAUGGCUAGUAGUUAGUUGGAUUAUCUUUUCUUUCACAGGUAAAGAUAUCUACAGCUGAGGGGGUGAUGGCUGAGUUAGAAAAGUCUAAGUUAGAGUAUCUUCAAGCUUUAAUAAUUGUAAAAAGAAUUGCGAUUCCAAAGCAUCUGCUUCGUCACAUGUAUGAUUUUGCCCAAGAUGUGGAGUCAUUGAUUGAGUGGGUUUGCCACCAAUUGCCUACAUCUGGGUGGCUCUGAAAAUCCGUGGGUCGUUCCUGUGGGAACGGCCUCCACUAUUAUAGAUACUACUAGAGGUACCUCGGCUGUGCAACGCACAGCCAGGGCCUUCUAGAACAUUAGUUAAAUACAUAGUAACAAAUGUUUUAGUACAUAAUGAAUAGAAAUAUAGGAAAAAUAUUAAGUAUAAAAAUAAUUAAAAUUUGGUGUGAAAAGAAAUUUCAUAUAUAAAGUUAACCUCAAUUUAUUGUGAUUUGAAAAAAUAAUUUUUAACCAAUAUUAUGUGUACGUAAUGAUACCAAAAAAGAAAAGAAAGCAAAUCCAUUAUGAGUGCAUUAUCGGUUUAAUAGCAGCAUAGUUUUAGUUGUAAUUAAAUAAAGAGUAGUCAUAAUGUUUCUAACAUUUUAAUAAUUAGAAAAAAUAUAGAAAGCCACAAAAACCUGUCACUAUCUUCAACAUCAAUAAAAAAAAAUACAAACUUGCAUAUUUUCUUUCUUUUUUGAGAGAAAGAGCGAGUUAAUCUAUCCAUUUAAAUCAUGUCUAAUAGCAUUACAAAUAGAUGAAAACAUUAUCUAACCAAAUAGUUAUAGAAUAUGUAUAGCAAGUUUAAAUAAAAACAUGAAUUGCCAUAUUUGUAAAUCUACAUAUGCAAAUUCAAAUCCAACAAUUUGUUUGAUUGCAAAUAUGUCUUCUUAAUCAAAAUAGAAUUUUCUAAUAAUAUUUUGUAGAGCGACACUCUAAGCUAAAUGCCUCAAUACUAACUUCCCACCAAAUGCAUUCAUUUGAAAGCUGCAAUUGUUUUAACUAGUCAAAUCGACAAAAUAUUAUUAACUUAUUUAGCCAAAUAGUAAUGAUAUGUCCAAUUCUAUGCCUAACAAUCAUCUCAAACUCUAUUACAUUAUCUAUCAUUAUGGGCAAUAGAAAGGAAUAAGAGUACAAAGUCAUAUAGAACCAGUUUAAGUAAAAAAGAUUCUGAAAUCUAAUUUUGCACUUCUUUUAUUUCCAAGCUAUCAUUUGCUAAAAUUAAAACCAUGAAAAUAAACUGCCUAUUAUGGAUACAAGCUAGUCAUUCAAAAUGUUAAAUGAAGAGAUAUAAAAUAUUAUCUUCACAUUCUAAAUUGCUAGCCCCAACAAUUAUUUUACCCGUCAUCCACCUUAUCCAGUUUAUAAGCACUUUUCACAAUUAAUAAACUUUAUACAAAUUAAAAUAUAAUUACCUAUCCAUAAAUUAAGAUAUUCUGGUUAAUUUUUAAUUUAAUAGGCAUCAUUUUUUUCUUCCUGAUCAUCGUUUACCUUGGAUUUUCAUUUAUUAGAUUUUUUUCUCCUCUACUGUAGUACUAUCACCCUAUUAUCAAAUAACAAUUUUAAUAAAUAAAAAAUUAGAAUUAGAAUGAAUCUGCAUAAUGGUGUUUUUUAUUUUAUGAGGGAAAAGUAGUUACAAUUCUUUCAUUGUUAGCCUAAAAAUUCUUAAUGUAAUCACCACCCGUCUUGUUGUCAGCCUUUUCCAAAAAUAAAAAGAUCAAAAAGUAGUUUCAGAAUAAAUAAAAUAUAAAAAACUAGAAAAAAUGUUUCUUUAGAUUUGGGGAAAAAUAUUCACAGCAUCAUAUACCUAUUUUGGGCAGAAAAGAAAGUCAGAUGAAGAAGAAAUAGGUGAGAAAAGUAAUAAGCAAAGGUUGCUGAUCAAGAUGCAAAAAAUGACAAAAAAAAUAUCAAAUAAUAUAUACCAAAAAAAGACAUUAAAAGUAGAAGAUCACAAAUCAUAAUUAUUGAACAAUGGAAGAAAGGAAAUAUCAAACCCAUUCUUGAUCUCUGAUAAUGAAAUCAUUCAUUUAGUUAAUUAUGGACAAAAAUGAAAGAAAAUGCAUCAACUAAUCCAAUAGAGAAAAAAUAGAAUAAAUGAUUAAUUAGGAUGAUAGGGAAAAAAUGGAAUACAAAGUGGAAACUAAAUAACAAACUUGCAGUGUACAUGAGGAUUUGUUUAAUUAUCUUUAAUAAAAAAAGAGAAAGGAAAUAAAGUGAAUAAAAGAAAAAACAAAGCAAAAUAAAGAAAAGAAAAGGAAUGAGCCAUGUGUCAAAAUGAGAGGAAUCCAUUUGGCAAUCAUUAGAGCUGCUGCAGUAACUCCACUUUCUUCUUCUAUAAUAGGUAGAUACCAUAUGAUUUCGGAUUCCAGUAUCUCUUGGCAAUAUAAUUUUAGGGCCAUUUUGCAGCUCUAUUGUGUAAUUAUGUGGUGGAAAGUUUUGUUCGAUAUGUAAAUGGAAACUAGUUAUUCUUUUGGUCUUUUUCGAAAUGCUAUGGAAGAAGCAUUGCUCUUGUCAAAAGGGUUUUUUUUUUUUUUUCCGGAAAUGGUUUUGAGAAGCAUUUGUGGAGAAUUCACUAUUGUCAGUGGUCAAGAUCCUAUGCUUUUAGUUCUCCCACCAAUUAAUUCUUGCGUAUUCAUUUCUAGUUUCAAGCUUCCUACUUGGUCCUCCAGAAAAGAGAAGGGGAAAAAAAAAUCUUCAUUGUCAAUAGAAUUAUUCUCAUCUUUAUCUUUUUAUUUACUUCAUGACCUUGACAAGUGACAACUAUACACUUAGAAGCGCGUUUAUAGUUUACGCAUAGCUUCUGCGUAACUGGUCCAACCAUCAAUUGUAGACUCGAAAAUUGAAUUUGAGUCUUUCCACGUGGAGGAUUUGGGAUUAGGAUUGUAAAUGAAUGGUUUUUAUUCAGUCCGCAAAAGUCUCAGUUAAUGUACUCAUUUGGCUUCCAUCAAACCAUUAGGACCAUAGUUGCAAAAGAUAGAUAAAUCCACUUCACUACACAUAUCUAACUAGUUUAGAUAAGUGGAUAAACAAAUGGAGAGUCCAAAUCUUUAAAGGGGAAGAUAUGCAUACAUACAUACAUACUUACAUAUACAUAUAUAUAUAUAUAUAUAUAUAUAUAUAGCAUUUCGACUACCUAUUUAAGAAGUGGGGAAGAGGAGGGGGGAAUUUGAAUCCACCACUUCUAUUUUCUGGUGCCUCAGCCGUAGUCACUAUCAAUUAAUUUGCACUAGGAGGAUAACACCGCGCGAUGCGCGGUGUAACUUUUAGACUUGCCCAGAAAUAUCCAAUUAUUCAAAUUUAGAUAAUAAGCAUGAAAAGUUAUAUAAAGGUGCACCAAAAUCUUUAGGAUUAGGUUUUUGUAAAUUUAUUAAGCAACGAAAAUAAGCCACAAUUUUAACUUAGUGACUAAGCUACGAAAAGUCAUUUUUUGCUUUACCUACUAAUUGAAUAGGAUCGGCAAUGUCAUAAAUUUCAAAGUAAUAUAUACCAUGUAACGUCAUCUUGCAUCGACUAACUGUAUUUGCCAUGAUUUGAUGUGCAUAAAAAAUGUGUCAUUCAUGAACAAAUUCAAGAGGAAGCUCAACGUUUUGAGAGCAAUACUCAAAUAUGUCGGAUAAGAAGCCUAUUUAAUUGUAAAAUAUAGAAACGACCACAUAAUAGCAAGAGAAAUAGGAUUCAACACGAUAAAGAUGACUACAUAAUAGCAAGAGAUACAAGAUUCAACACAAUAUAGACUAAAGAUCUAUAUAUAACUGAUAAGAGAAACAAGCGAUUAUCUCGUGUCUAAAAUCUUAUUACGACAAUGAAUAAGUUUUGAAAAACCAAAUCAAAUAAUUACACAAUGAAAAUAUUUCAGAUGCAAGAUAUGUUUUACGUCAACAACAUACAACAAAUUUAACAUCCUUUUUCCUUUUUCUUUUUCUUUUUUUUUUUUGCAUAAAAGAAACUUUAAAAUAACAUAUAAUCCUAUACACAUACAAAAGAGAUCUCCAAAAUGCAGUCUCUAUAGACCCAUAAUGAAAACUUUGUCAAUGAAGUUUUCCCCGGCUGCAGCUUCAUGCAGUGAUGCAGAUGCAAAACCAAGAAAGUCAAAACCAAGCUUUGGACACAAAAAUUCACAAUGAAAAUCAAUAGAUAAAAAAAGACCAAUCCAGCAAGCCAUCUCUAAGCCUAAGGUAAAGCCAAGGGGCAGAUUUCUGAGAGGCACUGACAAAUCUAAACUGCAUCGGAGUCUUUUCAAACAUCGGGUUUUCCAGAUUAUCAUAUUCUACUGGAGAAUAUUAUUUACGGAAUGCUCAAAGAUCAUUCCAAUAUUAUACAGAAAUCUAUAUAAGUUGCCAUCUAAACUGGAUAUGUUAAAUGCAGAUCUUGUCAAACAUCCAGGAUUUCUUGACGACAUGAGCAAUUUUCUUCCUCUUAAGUAAAUUAUUGCAGAAUGUUCAAAAAGUUUAUUGUAAUCUUACAAUCCAAAAUAUUCUUUAAACAAUCUAAGUCAUUAUAUAAUUGAUGAAUUCUGUUACACAAGUUUCAGCUAUUUAAAUUUCUCAAAUUUCACCAGAAUGGAUGUAAAAGGGUUGAAGAAUAAGGUUCUUUGGUAUAGGUUUCAAAAAAUGGCAUAUUUCCAUUCAGAAUUUGUCUUGAUAGUACUUCAUUGUACAAUAAAGGAUGCCAAUAGAAUAUUCCAAUUUAAUGCGUAUGGUCCUAAUCAUCAAAUAUAAUGAACUACAAGUCGUAACUUAGGAAAUCAUGAUCAUAGAACUAUUGAUCUUGCAUGUCUUGAUCAUCGUCAGCUCAGGUGCAAAACAUCCUCAAGAGGAACAAAACUGAACCAUUACCAUAAUCCAGGCUAGUUACUUAGAAUUCUACAUAUUACAAUUUAACGCCACUAAUUGCAUGAGAUAAUUUAAGAAUCCCAAUGAGGAUCUUAUUUCGAUUUCUGCGAUUAUCCUUAAGCUAUUUGAGGCACAAAAAGAAAAAGAGAAAUCUUCCAAAAUACUAUUUACCCAUCCAUAUUUUGACAAAACUUAAUCACAAAAGAUUAUAGCGAAAACAACAAAAAUAAAAAUACACUUAUUUACUGUUAUAAGCAUAGUCUCUCGAUCUGAUUUGUAUAAAAACAUAACCUUUUUCAAGUUCUCCUUCCAAAUUAUCACCAUUGACAUCUCACAUAUAAAUAAGCAAUCUAUAAAUCCAAACAAAAAAAAAACCCAGACCUUAAAUCAACUAAAAGCUAUAAGAAUUGCAUCAAUCUCCCACUAUUCGUUGAUUUUGACAACCAAUCAGCUAUAGUACAGAAACAAGAAUCCAAAUAUUACCAUUUUACAACCCAUGUACUUACCAGCAAGUAAUCAAUUCAAAAAACCCAUCAAAACCCCAGAAGUAAAAUCCACCAAAAACCAUAAAUAUCUGAGGAUCAACAAAAUUCAUAUAAUAAAGGUACAACCUUGGUCCUUGACAUACUCAGCAAAGGUGUUGCAGUCUAAGCAGAGAGCCAGAUCAGUUAAUCCCAGACUCUCACACUCUUUGGUGCUAAGUUGCAUUUGCACAUGAGCAGACCCACCAGUAACAAAACCCAAUGUAUGGUCAUUUCCUGCUACAGAAGUAGGAUUAGGAUUAGAUGUACCCCAAUAAUAACAUAUUCAUAUAAAGAAAAGAACCUUUAAAGUUGCUUAGAAGAAAGAAGAAUCCACAAAAAAAAAAUGGCGAUAACAGAAACAAGAGAAGAAAUCUAUUGAGAGAGUAUAAAAGCUAGUUUUACCAACAGAAAUUAAUCAAUAAAAAUAAUGUCACUGAUGAAAUUUCCCCAAAGGGAACAAAACAUUGUACAUAUACGUGGAAGCAAAUUCUAGAGAAGUUCCUAUGCAUUAUUUUCUAAUUUUUCUUUUUUUAAAAAAAAAUGCAAUAUUGGGUCCAACAUCAAAUGUCAAUUGUAUGACGCACAGGAAUACUAUUUUCUGAACAUAAUUUUUCCAGUCAAAGAUCGAGCCAAGUUUUUUUAGUAAUUUAAAAGAGGAAAGAUGGUAUCUUCAUAGUAGAUUAAAUGGAUUUUGCUUUUGAAACUCCAUUUAUGUAAUUCGUAUAACUAUGUAUCUCAUGAAUCAUGAACUGAUCAAAACAUCUUCAAGGAAGUUAGUCAUAAUAAUGAUUUCAUUUUGCACGUUAAAACCACAAAACCAGAAAAAUCGACUAUGAAAUAAAGAUUUCAUCAUACAGCUUCCCAAAUUUGACAUUACGAAGAAUACCAAGUAGUUUAUAUAACAGAUUCAUUAUGUUUCCCAGCCAAGGGAAAAAAAGAAGAUACAGAAGAAAAAGAUACUUGUAUCUAAUUUACUUUGACAAACACAAUAAAACCUAAAACACAAAACACUGGAAGAAAUUUGCUCAUUCUUCCAAUCACUUUUACCUUUAUCCUUUCUCUGACAACAACCUCAAUAAACAAAAAUAGGCUAAAUUAGGUGAGAGAAACCAUUUAUAGAAAAAGACUAUGGUUUAUAGUAUAAAUAGUAGAACACAAAUAAAUAUUACCAGCUUUAACUACUUCUUAGAGAAGUCAACUUCAAGUUUUCAUAUUCCUUCCUGUAACAACAACCACUAAUAUACUUGGAAAAGUAGCACCAAAAGAACAAAAAAAAAAAGGAAAAAAAAUCAUCCAUCAAAUCCUAAACCAGGCGUGGAAGAGGGAAAAAUUAAAUCAGAUUGAUGCAGCAAACUUACAUUUUCACUCACCAGUUGUUUUUCACAAGUGGCCAUUUUUCCUCCGAACUCCAGAAGAAAUCCAAGACAAAAACGAAAAAUGGAACAAUAAAUCACCAAAUAGAUACAAAAAAGAAAGUUAAUAAAUAUCUAAAAGCUAGCUAAUCAUCAAUUAUUCAUCAUCUCAGACCAUAUUAAAAGUUUUUUUUCUGAUUAAAAAUAAAAAUCAAUGAUAAAACAGAAAUGAAACAGAACAUUAAUCAUGGAAAGAAAGGGGAAGAAAAGUACCAUAUAUCUGCAUUCUAGAAAUUGACAUCAGAUAGUGGAGAUGAAAUAUUGACCUUCCCCGUCCUUACUGUUUCACAAAAGGACACGACAGAGAUGAGAAAAAAAAAAGAUUUGCUGCUUUUAGCCAAUGAAAUAGAAAUAUCAGGAAAAUGAUAGGAAAACAGAAAAAAUUAGCCCUAACUACUCGAGGGAGGGAGGAAGAUGAAGAAGAACAAGAGGGAGAACUGGGAGAAACCGGGAGUGGAAGGGGAAGAAGAUUACCAGCCCUUUUCUGUCUCGAGCCCAUCGUCCAUCAAAUCCUAAGCAACCACUCUGCAGAAGGAAAAAUCCGGACCCUCCAAUUGAGAUUACAAUCUCUUCCAAGUACAAUCAAAUGCCAGAAAUUGAGGGGAGACCUCUGGGUCUCAUAAAAAAAAUGGAGUUUUGUCCAGAGGACAAAAGCAAAGAAAAGCUCUUGACAUCGAUUGAUGCUGCUAUGUUUUGAAAGACAGAGAAAGAAGAAAGAAGAAAGAAGAGAAGCUGCCGUCGGUUUACCAGUCCAAGCAAACAAAAAGGCAGACAUCCAAUUGGCAAACGGGCUGGACGACCAUCAAUUGAGAAUUUCGGGCCGGACGACCACCAAUCAACCAAUGAAAGCGAGCCACGUCAGCAAUUGAAGCCCAAUUGAAAACAAGGGCAUUCCCCAAUAGACUAGAUAUGUUAAUAAAUGAACAUGUGAAAAACAAGCCUUUCAAUCCAACGGUUUGAUUCGAGCUAAUGGAGUACCGACUAGCCUAGUUACCUUCAAUCUCAUCUCAGUGUGACCUUGAUUCCUUGAGUGGAAGCAUAGACUUUUCACGAACCAAUCCUCAAGUUAGGCGUGUUUGUGUGGAAAUUGACUCAAGUCAGUCACUCGGUUGUUAAUGACUGUGUGAAACUGCUGUUGUUGAUUGGUACUCCUUUUUGCUGCCCCCUUCUAUCUUUUAUUUAUGGUCAUCAGAGCAAAUGGUGAUGCCAGAAACCAAAUAGGAGUGGUAAUUGGCAGAGGGCAGUGCAUUUCUCAGCAACAAUUAGCUCAUUAUAAUCAACCAAAAGAAAAAAAAAAGAUGGAUCGAAGCUUAUGCCUCUGCCUACUGAUUUGCCUGUUCUUGCAGUGCCCAUUCAGUUAUUCUUGGAGGAGUCUAACAUUUCUUGAUCUUGGUUCCAACUUACUGGAGGGACCAUUACCUGCUUCUCUCUGCAACUUAGAAAAGCUGCAAUAUCUUCUCCUGUCUGACAACAAACUGAACGGAACAAUACCUCACUGUUUCGGGAACAUCAGCACACAGCUCACGGUGUUGGACUUGCGGAGAAACGGCUUUCAUGGGAUGAUUCCAACAACGUUUCCAGAGCGCAAUCAGCUCAGGAAUCUUGGUCUCAACGGCAAUCAACUAGAAGGGCCCCUGCCACGAUCUUUGAUCAACUGCAAGAGCUUG
rnacentral:lncRNA from 1 species